rnacentral:rRNA from 1 species
GAUGAACGCUGGCGGCGUGCUUAACACAUGCAAGUCGAACGAGAAGUGAAGACGGAAAUCUUCGGGCGGAAGGCUUUAUUUCGAGUGGCGGCCGGGUGAGUAACGCGUGGGUAACCUGCCUCAUACAGGGGGAUAACAGUUGGAAACGACUGUUAAUACUGCAUAAGAGCACAGCAUCGCAUGGUUCGGGGGUAAAAGCUCGGGUGGUAUGUGAUGGACCUGCGUUCGAUUUGCUGGUUGGCGGGGUAACGGCCCACCAAAGCGGCGAUGGAGAGCCGAUCUGAGAGGAUGCCCGGCCACGUUGGGACUGAGACACGGCCCAAACUCCUACGAGAGGCAGGAGAGGAGAAUAUUGCAAAAUGGGGGAAACCCAGAGGCCGCGACGCCGCGUAAGUGAAGAAGUAUGUCGUUAUGUAAAGCUCUAUCAGCAGAGAAGAAAAUGACGGUACCUGAGGAAGAAGCCCCGGCUAACUACGUG